AUUGAACGCUGGCGGCAUGCCUUACACAUGCAAGUCGAACGGCAGCGGGGGGGAAGCUUGCUUUUCCUGCCGGCGAGUGGCGAACGGGUGAGUAAUACAUCGGAACGUGCCCUGUAGUGGGGGAUAACUAGUCGAAAGAUUAGCUAAUACCGCAUACGACCUGAGGGUGAAAGUGGGGGACCGCAAGGCCUCAUGCUAUAGGAGCGGCCGAUGUCUGAUUAGCUAGUUGGUGGGGUAAAGGCCUACCAAGGCGACGAUCAGUAGCUGGUCUGAGAGGACGAUCAGCCACACUGGGACUGAGACACGGCCCAGCCUCCUACGGGAGGCAGCAGUGGGGAAUUUUGGACAAUGGGCGAAAGCCUGAUCCAGCAAUGCCGCGUGUGUGAAGAAGGCCUUCGGGUUGUAAAGCACUUUUGUCCGGAAAGAAAUGGCUCUGGUUAAUACCUGGGGUCGAUGACGGUACCGGAAGAAUAAGGACCGGCUAACUACGUGCCAGCAGCCGCAGUAA
rnacentral:rRNA from 1 species